UACGUAGGCAGCGAGCGUUGUUCGGAGUUACUGGGCGUAAAGAGCGCGCAGGCGGUCGUGCAAGUCGCGUGUGAAAGCCCCCGGCUCAACUGGGGAGGGUCACGCGAUACUGCUCGACUCGAAGGCAGGAGAGGGAAGUGGAAUUCCCGGUGUAGUGGUGAAAUGCGUAGAUAUCGGGAGGAACACCAGUGGCGAAGGCGACUUCCUGGCCUGUUCUUGACGCUGAGGCGCGAAAGCUAGGGUAGCAAACGGG
rnacentral:rRNA from 1 species